ensembl:lncRNA
UGACUCAUCAAUUGCCUUGGAUCUGGGAGGUGUGGUUUUCUGUGGCCCAUGGCAUCUGAGAUCAGCAGGAAUCAGCACCAGCUCAAGUUGGAUUUCUUCUCAGGCCUGUACCUACAGGUUAGACAACUUAUCAAGGCAUGAAACUCCCAAAUCCUGAGUCAUUGACAACUGAAACUGCCUAAGUGUGAGAUCAUGCUUCUGCAGGAAGACUUGCCAGACCAUCUUUGGGAUGGGUAUCGCUGUGAUGGAAGGGACAGGAAGACAGUGAUCAAAAGGUUGGCAAGAUGGGAAGCAACGAGCUUAUUUCCAAGCAGGGAAAUCAACAGUGCCACAUCAAACUAAGAAGGAGGAAAUCCAGCCAGCUAAGCAGGUCACACGGUUCCCACACACAGCAGAUCUCUUCUCUGGCUGGAGCCCAGGCUACUAGAAAGAGUGUCUCCUGAAACAACCAGGUGUGGGGAGAGCCCCGAAAUGACUAGACAUACAUGGCUCACCUGUUGAACUAACCCCAUUGAAAUAGAUGCUGGAUCAUUAUCAGGGAGAGGAGCUGCCUAGGAAAAUGGCACUCUCCAGGGAGGACAUAAGCUACUUUUGUAGUUUCAUGCAAAAGAAGAUGUGUGAAUAACAAGUAGUAAGAAGGACAAUUACAAUGGCUGGAGAGACGAACUAAGCUGAAUGUCACUGGAAUUUGGCAAGUCCUCCAAGCUUUAGGGCUGGUGCGAUGCUGUGUCUUAUUGCAUCACUUAAUCAUCCAAUAAAUUGUUAAAGAAAUAUUUAUCGAGGGCCAAGUAUGUCCAAGGCUGUGGGGAUAAUGGAAAGCUGCUCUCAUGGAACCUACGUUCUAGGAUAUGGGAAGAUAGACAAUAAUGAAAUAUAUAAAUACAUGAUUUGUUAAGUAGUGAUAAGUUCUAUGAAGCAAAAAGAAGCUGGUUAAGGUGAAUAAAAAAGCUGCAGGGGACACAGAUUUGUAUAAGAAGGUUAGAUAAGUCCCCUCUAAUAAAGUGACAUUUGAACAAAGGCCUAAAAGAAGUGAGCGAGCGAGCCAGACAACCAGGAGAGGUCAUUCCAGGGAGAGACAACAGCCUUUGUAAAAGCCCUGACGCUGAAAAUGCUUGGUGUGUUUAGGGAACACUAAGGAAACAGUGUGGCUACAGAGAGAGGAGGGAGGGGAGCAAUGGGUGAUAGGGACAGAGACGCUGUGGUGGCGGGCAGAUAAUAUAGGACUCAAACCCUUAGGACGCUGUAAGGACUUUUACCUUAUACUCUAGAGGAAAUGAGAAGCCACUAGAAAACUUGGCUGCUGUACAGAAAAGAAACAAGAGUGAAAACAGAAGGAGAAAAAUUCCAGUUAGGAGGCCAGUGCAAUAAUCCAAGAGAGAAAUAGACCAGGAUGGUAGCAGUGCAGGUAGUGAGGAGUGUUGGAUGUUGUGUGUGCAAGAAAGACAGUUGUGAAGGGCGAGGCCAAGAUGCUUUAGGCCCACGAGACUGGAAAAAUGGAGGUACCAUUAACUGAGAUGGGGAGGAGCAGGUUGGGCGAUGUUUUAGAUAUUAAAUAAGCAUCACAUACCAUCACCUUCCUUUGCUAAGACCCCUUAGUCUGUGCCAGAGCUCUCUUACUUAAUAGGAUGAGCCAUACACUGUCUGGCCUCGACCUCUGCUCAGAUUGUUUUCAUCUCUUGAAAUGUUGUCUCCUAUUGCAUUCCUUUAACGUCUUGGCUUAGACAUAGGGUAUCUCAUUGGCCAAGUUCCCCACAUCACGGAGAUAGUGUAAAUAUACAGGGGUAGGGAGGUUGUGUCUUUCUUAACAGGAUGUGAGAAUUUGAUUGACAUUCAUCUUCUCCACUGCUGCGCAGUCCCUUGGGAGCAGUGACUGUGUCUGUCUCCUUCUGCAGUAUUCCUAGGACCAAGCACAGUGCCUGACUUGCAGUUGGCACUCAGUAACUAGCAAAUGGGUGAAGGAAUGAAAGCGUGAAGUGAUUCCACCAACCACUCCCUGUGGUAGGAACUGGGCCAACUGAAACUCUGCUUCCACAGCCUUUUGCACCAGGUCAGAAGCCGAGGAACUGCGCCACAGGAAUGACCCGUGUAGGUGCGCUAGAGUUGGUGCCUUCUCGUUCCCUUUGGCUCAGGACCUACUCCUGGUGUCCCUAGGGCCCUGUCUGGUGGCUGCAUUUAGAUGCAGCAUUAGGAAGCCAUCUCAGGGGUCAUCACGUUGAGGUAGGCUCAUCCCUUGUGUUGGGGAGCUCUGUGCUCACAUCCUCACGGCAACAAGUCCAGAGGAAAACAGACUGCCUUUCUCCGGCUACUCUCUGUAUGUCCCAGGGUAGGUGGCUGUGCAUUGAGCAGGCUUCAGUCACGUGUCUACCCCGGAGCUGCAGGUCUGUAGUCAGCUCCAUCCAACCACCGGAGAUGAGUGAAGGGGAGAAAAGGUUUCCCCAAAGGAAUUUUGGAAUAAGAGUAAUGAGCUUUGGGUGGGGAAAAACCUUUAUAAAGAUCUUGCUUAUCUUUUGUAAAUGCUUUAGCUCUAAACACAGUAAAAACCCACAGUAGGCAGUCAGUGCAGAUUUUGAGAUUGAUGAAUUUUUAUGCCUCAGGCCUCCGUCCAAAAUCCUAAUCUGUUUUUCCAUCUGCCUAAUGGAUGCUUUGUGGCCAGAUCCUAAAAUCGCAGAAAUGGUUGGCUCAAAAUCAACAUUAUUACAAAGUCUAGAUUAAUUCAGGGGUGACAGGUCCAUAAAGGUGUAGUGUCACCCUCUCUCCUUGGUACACUACCCUUUUUCCCCCACGCCCUGGGCAGAAGUAAUCUCUCCACCUCCGGGACUUUUGCUUUAUUCAGCCUGCAUAUUUGCUACGGCACUUGCCACAUGGUCUCUUUGCUCUUAUGUAUACUAGUCAAGAUUGUUUAAGUGAUAGAAAUCCUAACUCAAAAAGGCUUUGAAAAAUUAUCAGCUCAUAAACCUGAACAGUUUAAGGGAUAGUUCUACUUCAAAAAUGGUUUGAUCCAAGUUUCAUAGGAUGUCAGCAGGAUGGGGUUUUGCUCUGUUUCUUGACCUCAUCCUUAAUAUUUACUCUAUUGUCAGUCACACUGUUCACAAAAUAGCUGCCACGGCUCCAGCCUUUGUCUUUUGUUUACUUCUAAUGGAAAGCGAAAGAACCUUUCUCAAGAUUCCAUGGCAAUCUCAUUGCUUCUCAUGGGCAUUAAUUGGGGCUUAUGCUUAUUACUGAAUCAGUCACUGCCCAAAGCAAUGGGGUACAUUGAUUGCUUUAGGUCUAGGUCACAUGCUGCAUGCCAGGACUAGGUGUGGAGUAAAAACCAAGUGUAAAAAUGGGGAAGGGAUCAUUCUCAGAGGAAUAUCCAAUCUGGAAACAGGAAGGAAACUGUAUACAGGGGCCAUAGACCAACAAAUAUGAGAUCUGUCUCCCCCUUUAGAUAAUAUAUUUAUUCGUUCUCUUGACCACAAUGCUUCCUGUAGUGAAUGACAUGUGCUGACAGAUGCUUAAUAAUUGUUUACUAGAGGGAAGGAGAAAAAAAGGCUGGAUGAACCACUGUUUAGACAUUUCUAACAUUUUCACCGCGUUUUGGUCAAUACCAUCUUCCUUGGGACUGCAUAUUUGAAAUGGGAUUUGGAAUCUGGGAAUACAAAGUUUCUCAUCAGUUUAAUUCACUUUAGCCUGUGCCAACUAAAAGUUUUUCACAAGCAUUAGCUAUUUACUCCCUUACUCGAAACAUUUCUUGGUAAAAGCAGCAGGGAAAAAAUAAUUCACAUCUUGAUGAGGCUGAAUUCUUACCUUUUGCCCCUGGAAUUACAAAUUGGGCCCCGGAGUCAAAUGACGGAAGAACUACUGCCCAUUUUGGAAAUUUUUGAAUUGCCGC